rnacentral:rRNA from 1 species
GCUUAACACAUGCAAGUCGAGGGGUAGAGGCUUUCGGGCCUUGAGACCGGCGCACGGGUGCGUAACGCGUAUGCAAUCUACCUUGUACAGAGGGAUAGCCCAGAGAAAUUUGGAUUAAUACCUCAUAGUAUUUUCGAAUGGCAUCAUUUGAUUAUUAAAGUUCCAACGGUACAAGAUGAGCAUGCGUCCCAUUAGUUAGUUGGUGUGGUAACGGCACACCAAGACGAUGAUGGGUAGGGGUCCUGAGAGGGAGAUCCCCCACACUGGUACUGAGACACGGACCAGACUCCUACGGGAGGCAGCAGUGAGGAAUAUUGGGCAAUGGUCGGAAGACUGACCCAGCCAUGCCGCGUGCAGGAAGACGGCCCUAUGGGUUGUAAACUGCUUUUGUACGGGAAGAAACCCUCCUACGUGUAGGAGCUUGACGGUACCGUAAGAAUAAGCAUCGGCUAACUCCGUGCCAGCAGCCGCGGUAAUACGGAGGAUGCGAGCGUUAUCCGGAAUCAUUGGGUUUAAAGGGUCCGUAGGCGGUCUUAUAAGUCAGUGGUGAAAUCUCCUAGCUCAACUAGGAAACUGCCAUUGAUACUGUAGGACUUGAAUUUUUGUGAAGUAACUAGAAUAUGUAGUGUAGCGGUGAAAUGCUUAGAUAUUACAUGGAAUACCAAUUGCGAAGGCAGGUUACUAACAAACGAUUGACGCUGAUGGACGAAAGCGUGGGGAGCGAACAGGAUUAGAUACCCUGGUAGUCCACGCUGUAACGAUGGAUACUAGCUGUUUGACGCAGUUGAGUGGC